rfam:Punica granatum cultivar Dabenzi scaffold4, whole genome shotgun sequence.
GAAAGCCGUAUUCGAUGAAAGUCGUAUGUACGGCUUGGAGGGAGAUCUUUCUUUCAUAUCUUUCGAGAUCCACCCUAC